rnacentral:rRNA from 1 species
AGAGUUUGAUCCUGGCUCAGGAUGAACGCUGGCGGCGUGCUUAACACAUGCAAGUCGAAUGAUGAUCCCAGCUUGCUGGGGGAUUAGUGGCGAACGGGUGAGUAACACGUGAGUAACCUGCCCUUAACUCUGGGAUAAGCCUGGGAAACUGGGUCUAAUACCGGAUAUGACUCCUCAUCGCAUGGUGGGGGGUGGAAAGCUUUAUUGUGGUUUUGGAUGGACUCGCGGCCUAUCAGCUUGUUGGUGAGGUAAUGGCUCACCAAGGCGACGACGGGUAGCCGGCCUGAGAGGGUGACCGGCCACACUGGGACUGAGACACGGCCCAGACUCCUACGGGAGGCAGCAGUGGGGAAUAUUGCACAAUGGGCGAAAGCCUGAUGCAGCGACGCCGCGUGAGGGAUGACGGCCUUCGGGUUGUAAACCUCUUUCAGUAGGGAAGAAGCGAAAGUGACGGUACCUGCAGAAGAAGCGCCGGCUAACUACGUGCCAGCAGCCGCGGUAAUACGUAGGGCGCAAGCGUUAUCCGGAAUUAUUGGGCGUAAAGAGCUCGUAGGCGGUUUGUCGCGUCUGCCGUGAAAGUCCGGGGCUCAACUCCGGAUCUGCGGUGGGUACGGGCAGACUAGAGUGAUGUAGGGGAGACUGGAAUUCCUGGUGUAGCGGUGAAAUGCGCAGAUAUCAGGAGGAACACCGAUGGCGAAGGCAGGUCUCUGGGCAUUAACUGACGCUGAGGAGCGAAAGCAUGGGGAGCGAACAGGAUUAGAUACCCCAGUAGUCC